rnacentral:tRNA from 1 species
GGGCCGGUGGUCUAGCUGGCUAACCAAUAAAGGGCCAAGGGACGUCGCCCUCACACGGCGAAGGUCACCGGUUCAAAUCCGGUCCGGCCCA